GCUAAGCCAUGCGAGUCAUUGUAGCAAUACAAGGCAGACGGCUCAGUAACGCGUAGUCAAUCUACCCUAUGGACGGGGAUAACCUCGGGAAACUGAGAAUAAUACCCGAUAGAACAUUAUGCCUGGAAUGGUUUAUGUUUCAAAUGAUUUAUCGCCAUAGGAUGGGACUGCGGCCUAUCAGUUUGUUGGUGAGGUAAUGGCCCACCAAGACUAUUACAGGUACGGGCUCUGAGAGGAGUGGCCCGGAGAUGGGUACUGAGACACGGACCCAGGCCCUAUGGGGCGCAGCAGGCGAGAAAACUUUGCAAUGUGCGAAAGCACGACAAGGUUAAUCCGAGUGGUUUCUGCUAAAGAAACCUUUUGUCAGUCCUAGAAACACUGAUGAAUAAGGGGUGGGCAAGUUCUGGUGUCAGCCGCCGCGGUAAAACCAGCACCUCAAGUGGUCAGGAUGAUUAUUGGGCCUAAAGCAUCCGUAGCUCGUUUUGUAAGUUUUCGGCUAAAUCCAUGCGCUUAACGUAUGGGCUGCCGGGAAUACUGCAUAACUAGGAAGUGGGAGAGGUAGACGGUACUCGGUAGGAAGGGGUAAAAUCCUUUGAUCUAUUGAUGACCACCUGUGGCGAAGGCGGUCUACCAGAACGCGUUCGACGGUGGGGGAUGAAAGCUGGGGGAGCAAACCGGAUUAGAUACCCGGGUAGUCCCAGCUGUAAACUAUGCAAACUCAGUGAUGCAUUGGCUUGUGGCCAAUGCAGUGCUGCAGGGAAGCCGUUAAGUUUGCCGCCUGGGAAGUACGUACGCAAGUAUGAAACUUAAAGGAAUUGGCGGGGGAGCACCACAAGGGGUGAAGCCUGCGGUUCAAUUGGAGUCAACGCCAGAAAUCUUACCCGGAGAGACAGCAGAAUGAAGGUCAAGCUGAAGACUUUACCAGACAAGCUGAGAGGAGGUGCAUGGCCA
rnacentral:rRNA from 1 species